rnacentral:rRNA from 1 species
CCUACGGGUGGCUGCAGUAAGGAAUAUUGGGCAAUGGAGGCAACUCUGACCCAGCCAUGCCGCGUGAAGGAUGACGGCCCUAUGGGUUGUAAACUUCUUUUAUACGGGAAUAAACCCGGGUACGUGUACCCGGCUGAAUGUACCGUAAGAAUAAGGAUCGGCUAACUCCGUGCCAGCAGCCGCGGUAAUACGGAGGAUCCAGGCGUCAUCCGGAUUCAUGGGGGCGAAAGGGGGCUUAGACGGCUGCGGUGAAAUCCUACAGCUUAACUGUAGAACUGCCGUUGAUACUGCAAGUCUUGAGUACAUUUGAUGUGGGCGGAAUGUGUCAUGUAGCGGUGAAAUGCUUAGAUAUGACACGGAACACCGAUUGCGAAGGCAGCUCACAAAACUGUAACUGACGCUGAGGCACGACAGCGUGGGGAUCAAACAGGAUUAGAUACCCGAGUAGUC